UACGGAGGGUGCAAGCGUUGUCCGGAUUUAUUGGGUUUAAAGGGUGCGUAGGCGGCCCGUUAAGUCCGGGGUGAAAGCCCACUGCUCAACAGUGGAACUGCCCUGGAUACUGGCGGGCUUGAGUCCAGACGAGGUUGGCGGAAUGGAUGGUGUAGCGGUGAAAUGCAUAGAUACCAUCCAGAACCCCGAUUGCGAAGGCAGCUGACUAGGCUGGUACUGACGCUGAGGCACGAAAGCGUGGGGAGCGAACAGG
rnacentral:rRNA from 1 species